rnacentral:rRNA from 1 species
GUACGAAGGGGGCUAGGCGUUGCUCGGAAUCACUGGGCGUAAAGGGUGCGUAGGCGGGUUACGUUUAUCAGGGGUGAAAUCCUGGAGCUCAACUCCAGAACUGCCUUUGAUACUGAAGAUCUUGAGUUCGGGAGAGGUGAGUGGAACUGCGAGUGUAGAGGUGAAAUUCGUAGAUAUUCGCAAGAACACCAGUGGCGAAGGCGGCUCACUGGCCCGAUACUGACGCUGAGGCACGAAAGCGUGGGGAGCAAACAGGG